rnacentral:rRNA from 1 species
CCCUUAGAUGUUCUGGGCCGCACGCGCGCUACACUGAUGCAUUCAACGAGUUCUUCCUGGUCCGAGAGGAAUGGGUAACCUUUUGAAAGUGCAUCGUGCUAGGGAUAGACUAUUGCAAUUAUUGGUCUUCAACGAGGAAUUCCUAGUAGACGUAGUUCAUCAGACUGCAUCGAUUACGUCCCUGCCCUUUGUACACACCGCCCGACGCUCCUACCGAUUGGAUGAUCCGGUGAGCUAUUCGGACCUGUGCAUUUUCCAUUGGAACUUGCGUGGGAAAGUCUCGCGAACCUUAUCAUCUAGAGGAAGGAGAAGUCGUAACA